UACGUAGGGUGCAAGCGUUGUCCGGAAUUAUUGGGCGUAAAGAGCUCGUAGGCGGUCUGUCGCGUCGGAUGUGAAAAUCCAGGGCUCAACCCUGGACCUGCAUUCGAUACGGGCAGACUAGAGUUCGGCAGGGGGAGACUGGAAUUCCUGGUGUAGCGGUGAAAUGCGCAGAUAUCAGGAGGAACACCGGUGGCGAAGGCGGCAUCCUGGACCGGUAUUGACGCUGAGGAGCGGAAAGCCAGGGGAGCAAACGGG
rnacentral:rRNA from 1 species